CGUAAACACUCUGGAGAGAGCGGCUGCCUUCAUCGGCGCAAGCCGCCGCCGAAGGGGCACGAGGCUUCCGCCUCCAAACUCUCAGGCAAAAGGACAGAGGGGCGCCC
rfam:Rhodanobacter sp. OK091 genome assembly, contig: Ga0115501_102